rnacentral:rRNA from 1 species
UAAGGGCGCACGGUGGAUGCCUUGGCACUAGAAGCCGAUGAAGGACGUUACUAACGACGAUAUGCUUUGGGGAGCUGUAAGUAAGCUUUGAUCCAGAGAUUUCCGAAUGGGGAAACCCAGCAUGAGUUAUGUCAUGUUAUCGAUAUGUGAAUACAUAGCAUAUCAGAAGGCACACCCGGAGAACUGAAACAUCUUAGUACCCGGAGGAAGAGAAAGAAAAUUCGAUUCCCUUAGUAGCGGCGAGCGAAACGGGAAGAGCCCAAACCAACAAGCUUGCUUGUUGGGGUUGUAGGACACUCUAUACGGAGUUACAAAGGACGACAUUAGACGAAUCAUCUGGAAAGAUGAAUCAAAGAAGGUAAUAAUCCUGUAGUCGAAAAUGUUGUCUCUCUUGAGUGGAUCCUGAGUACGACGGAGCACGUGAAAUUCCGUCGGAAUCUGGGAGGACCAUCUCCUAAGGCUAAAUACUCUCUAGUGACCGAUAGUGAACCAGUACCGUGAGGGAAAGGUGAAAAGCACCCCGGAAGGGGAGUGAAAUAGAACCUGAAACCGUGUGCUUACAAGUAGUCAGAGCCCGUUAAUGGGUGAUGGCGUGCCUUUUGUAGAAUGAACCGGCGAGUUACGAUUUGAUGCAAGGUUAAGCAGUAAAUGUGGAGCCGUAGCGAAAGCGAGUCUGAAUAGGGCGUUUAGUAUUUGGUCGUAGACCCGAAACCAGGUGAUCUACCCUUGGUCAGGUUGAAGUUCAGGUAACACUGAAUGGAGGACCGAACCGACUUACGUUGAAAAGUGAGCGGAUGAACUGAGGGUAGCGGAGAAAUUCCAAUCGAACCUGGAGAUAGCUGGUUCUCUCCGAAAUAGCUUUAGGGCUAGCCUCAAGUGAUGAUUAUUGGAGGUAGAGCACUGUUUGGACGAGGGGCCCCUCUCGGGUUACCGAAUUCAGACAAACUCCGAAUGCCAAUUAAUUUAACUUGGGAGUCAGAACAUGGGUGAUAAGGUCCGUGUUCGAAAGGGAAACAGCCCAGACCACCAGCUAAGGUCCCAAAAUAUAUGUUAAGUGGAAAAGGAUGUGGCGUUGCCCAGACAACUAGGAUGUUGGCUUAGAAGCAGCCAUCAUUUAAAGAGUGCGUAAUAGCUCACUAGUCGAGUGACACUGCGCCGAAAAUGUACCGGGGCUAAACAUAUUACCGAAGCUGUGGAUUGUCCUUUGGACAAUGGUAGGAGAGCGUUCUAAGGGCGUUGAAGCAUGAUCGUAAGGACAUGUGGAGCGCUUAGAAGUGAGAAUGCCGGUGUGAGUAGCGAAAGACGGGUGAGAAUCCCGUCCACCGAUUGACUAAGGUUUCCAGAGGAAGGCUCGUCCGCUCUGGGUUAGUCGGGUCCUAAGCUGAGGCCGACAGGCGUAGGCGAUGGAUAACAGGUUGAUAUUCCUGUACCACCUAUAAUCGUUUUAAUCGAUGGGGGGACGCAGUAGGAUAGGCGAAGCGUGCGAUUGGAUUGCACGUCUAAGCAGUAAGGCUGAGUAUUAGGCAAAUCCGGUACUCGUUAAGGCUGAGCUGUGAUGGGGAGAAGACAUUGUGUCUUCGAGUCGUUGAUUUCACACUGCCGAGAAAAGCCUCUAGAUAGAAAAUAGGUGCCCGUACCGCAAACCGACACAGGUAGUCAAGAUGAGAAUUCUAAGGUGAGCGAGCGAACUCUCGUUAAGGAACUCGGCAAAAUGACCCCGUAACUUCGGGAGAAGGGGUGCUCUUUAGGGUUAACGCCCAGAAGAGCCGCAGUGAAUAGGCCCAAGCGACUGUUUAUCAAAAACACAGGUCUCUGCUAAACCGUAAGGUGAUGUAUAGGGGCUGACGCCUGCCCGGUGCUGGAAGGUUAAGAGGAGUGGUUAGCUUCUGCGAAGCUACGAAUCGAAGCCCCAGUAAACGGCGGCCGUAACUAUAACGGUCCUAAGGUAGCGAAAUUCCUUGUCGGGUAAGUUCCGACCCGCACGAAAGGCGUAACGAUUUGGGCACUGUCUCAACGAGAGACUCGGUGAAAUCAUAGUACCUGUGAAGAUGCAGGUUACCCGCGACAGGACGGAAAGACCCCGUGGAGCUUUACUGUAGCCUGAUAUUGAAAUUCGGCACAGCUUGUACAGGAUAGGUAGGAGCCUUUGAAACGUGAGCGCUAGCUUACGUGGAGGCGCUGGUGGGAUACUACCCUAGCUGUGUUGGCUUUCUAACCCGCACCACUUAUCGUGGUGGGAGACAGUGUCAGGCGGGCAGUUUGACUGGGGCGGUCGCCUCCUAAAAGGUAACGGAGGCGCUCAAAGGUUCCCUCAGAAUGGUUGGAAAUCAUUCAUAGAGUGUAAAGGCAUAAGGGAGCUUGACUGCGAGACCUACAAGUCGAGCAGGGUCGAAAGACGGACUUAGUGAUCCGGUGGUU